UAGAGAAAUAGGGAUAUGUGUAGAUUUAAAAAAUAAGAAAAGUGUGUUAAUUCGACGCGUUCCCAUUGUCCCCGAUCGUAAGUCAGUAGUCGUUGUUCUCUUUAUUCUCAAUACGUUUUUGUAUAUUCAUAUAGGAUAGCCCGAUAAAACCUUGCCACACACAAAUCUCUCGACAUCGUUCUCGAGAUGAUAAACGUAGGAUAAAAACGUACAGGGUUUACGAGGAAAAAAUGAAGAAAGAAGAUGGUUCGAAGCCAAAAGACGUAAGAGAGAAAGGAAAGAUGGAAAGACAAAAAAGAAAAGAAAAGGGAAGGAACAAACGAACGAACGAAAGCAAUAGGAGCAACAACAACAAUAGCAAUAGCAGUAGUAUUAGUAAUAGUAAUAGUGGUAGUUGUAGUCUUGGUUAGAUUUUUCUGUGUCACCACCCACGAUGCUGCCAAAUAAAGAAACGUGGAACGAGUGAGGUCACCGUCAAUGUUCUAUACAUACAUAUGUUUCUUCAACCUUCCACCUUUCUCUUUUUCUUUCGUCAACGAGUCAAUGCAACAAUGCACAUCCCCCAACUCUCAGAGUUCAUCUUUAGUUCUGUCUCUUCAUUGGUUAGACGUUUCCUAUGUACAUCAAUCUCGUUCUCGCUAGGCAACAUUCUUAUUUCUAAUCUUAACCCUUCUAUACCUUGAUUCACCAAGGUGAAUCUUUUUACUUGUUUUGUUUUUUCCUUCCUUUGUUUUUAUUUAUUAUUUCACUUCUAUACUCCGAUCCUCCUUUUCUUCAUACUUCAUGAUACACAUUCAAAAGGAUAACUAAAAAUAUGACUAAUGACGUUCCUUCUUCUUAUUAUUCUUUUUUAUUCGUUUUGUUUUCUUUCGUAAAGUGAGUUAGAGAAUAACUAUCAUCAUAACUCGGACACUUCUAAACACAAUAGUUCUGACAUUCGACCGAAAAUGUAUCUCUAUUCCUCUCGCUUUCUUUCUCUCUCUCUUACUCUUACUCUUAUAUCAUUUCCUCUCAAAAUACUUGAAAUUCUCAAAGCCAUUGUUCAAAGACAAUAAUAUCAUGCAAUUAAUCUUAGCUAGCUAUCUAAUCUCGUCCUAGUUCUCUCGUUGUCUUGUUUCAAACAUCCUCUUCUCAACUGGCAUCCUCGACACGAAGUCGUCCUUCUAUCAUUCGAGUUUUCACAACUACGAGACUUUGUUGUUAGAAACCUUACUACCAACGAAUACGAGUUGUACACUUAAAAAUUUUAUUUUACGCUUAUUUUUUUUUCUCUUUUAUAGAUAUUUUUCUUCUUUUUAACGAGACAAAUAUUUUAUAUCGCACGAUUCGCAAUAACUUUUAUGCUACCAUUUGAUUUGGAAUAAUUCAAAGUUUACAGACAUCGAGUUUCUCUUCUCCCGUUAUUUUUCGUUUACGUCUUUCAUCGUGGAAAGUUACACUGAUAGAAUAGUAAAAAAAAAUAAAUAAAAAGAAAAAAAGAAAAAAAGAAAAAAGACAGAAGGAAAGACCAGUCCAAUGGUGACGUUCGAUAUUUAAUAUCGAUUUUCCGAUAUAGAAACGGUAUUAAAGUCGAGAUUUCGCACGUCCAUACUCAUGGACGUAUUUUCUCAUUCGUAUACACCUAUGUCAGUGUGCGUAUGUGUGUCUCUAAGUGUGAUGGCUACUCUCUCACGUGUUGAUAGUACGUGUGAUAUUGGAAAAUCGUGCUCUGUGACGGUAACUUCGUGCACGUGGACUCUCAACUACAGAGAGAAAGCUGUUGACUCUAAGGACUAACACAGUGGGACAUAAAGGAGAAGCACAGUGUGUAUUCAGUAAAAGUUUUCUUCAAGAUAACAAGAUCCUUGCUUAUCGAUAUGCAUCGCAUGCAUCUUCUGAUCCUUUCACGGGUUAUUAAAUCAUAAAAGAAAGUUGGAAUAUUCGAUGGUACUCAUCUCUGUCGUGGUCGAUGGGACAAGAUGGGACAAGAUGAGACAAUUUAGAUAUUUUCAGGAAAAAAUAUGAGCGAGUUAAAGAAAAAAGGAGGAAACAAUAUGACAACAACGUCACCGGUAAGAGGGGUCAGAAAGAUAAAGAAAGAAAAUGAGAUUGUAGGGUUGACCGUCGUCAACUGUACCAUAAUACUUGAAGUGGUAUUAUAAGAAUAGCCAGGAGUCUGUGCUCGUCGUUGGUGUCGUUUCUAGUAGCUCCUUAUGGCUUAUUCGAUCGUGAAAAUACAUCAGAGUCAUGUGACAUCGAUCGACUUUUUUCUAUGAUUGAUCAUUAGAAGAAGAAAUCAAUUGUGUUCGAAAGGAAAAGGGGAAAGACCAUAUGUGUGUGUGGGUAAUAAAAAAAAAAAACUCACUUGUAGAAAUUUGUUCAACGAGUUUUAUCGACAGUAUCCACUAACCAGAAUCCUCCAACGUGUCUACCUCAUUGUCGGAAAAGUACUUUUUUCGAAACACACGUAGUUCAUGCAUGGUAUCCCUUUUCGUGUGAUGAGAUCGAGGAAGGAGCCAACGAAAACGGACAGUUGUAAGGCCACAAGAGAAAGUUUUUCGUUCAAUCUACUUUAGCGUUCCUUUUAUAUUCGUUAGAAAAAAGAAAAAAAAAAACGCGAUAGUCGAAGAUAGUACUUCUCGUGAUAUAAUUUCAAUCUAACGACCAUACCCGUUUUUUUUCCUACUUAAGGUUUAUCUAUCAUCUUGCGCGUGUUACGAUCUUUUCUUUCGAAAUGACACAAAAGUUGUUUGAAAAAUUAAACGCUCGAGAUCAAUCUUUAAAUCGGUUUAUAAAUAAUUCGAGAGCAAGAAUUUAAACGUUUAUUUUACGAUCUAUUGGAA
rnacentral:lncRNA from 1 species